UUGCGUAGGUGGUUUAUUAAGUGAAUAGUGAAAGCUGGUGGCUCAACCAUACAGACUAUUAUUCAAACUGAUAGACUCGAGAGUAGUAGAGGUAACUGGAAUUUCUUGUGUAGGAGUGGAAUCCGUAGAUAUAAGAAGGAACACCAAUGGCGUAGGCAGGUUACUGGACUAUCUCUGACACUGAGGCACGAAAGCGUGGGGAGGCAACC
rnacentral:rRNA from 1 species